rnacentral:tRNA from 1 species
AGGGUUGUAGUUAAAAAUAACAUUUGAGUUGCAUUCAGAAAGUACCAACAAUAGGUCUUCCUUA